AUUUAUCUGAAUGGAAGUCGGACAGCCAAGAAGUUGAAGUAGACCCGUUCAUCCAGACCGCUGCCGUUGCUCUCUAAUGACAGCACCUCCUCCAGCUCGCCAAGCUCCAGCCGAAGGAGAAGGGGGCUCCUACCUAAGGAGACUAAGCCUGGGUAGGGCAGAAGGAAGGAGUGAUCCUGAGGGAAGAUUCCACUGGGGCUGAGAAGACUUGGGGAAGGUCCCGGGGAAGGCGCGGAGGCAUCAGAAGCCAGGUGCCCUGUGUUCCAGGAACGGCGAAGAGCCUCACCUAUCUAGGGACGGACUGGACCCUGGUUUCCAUGGCAGUGGGCUCACCCAGACCCGUGGAACCCUCCCCACCCCCUUGCAGCUGGCACAGUGGGGCAGCACACUUUUCUUUCUCCCUGAGAGGAAGGCAGAAAGGGAGCAGCAGUCCCACCCCAGGGUACCUGGAUGAAGCUUCUGGCAGAGGAAAGCAGCAGGACGCGAGGCAGCCUUCCUGGCCCGUCUGGGACACAGUGCGGUUUCGGCUGGCUCAGUGGUGGUGGCCGAAUCCUCUGGAGAGCUGAGGGCAAGGAGCCGGGGUGGGCAUGUGGCUUCCCAUUUGCCCGCUCCCUCUGACCGCAGUCCCAUCCAUGGGGCCCAUUCCUAGAAGCAAGCCCGCCACACCUGGGGUUCCCUCCUGGCCUUUUCCCUGAAGAGGCCCAGUAAGGCACUUGAGAGUUAACUGAGCACACUUCAUUUUAUUUCCAAAACUACGGUCUGAGGGCCAGUCUUCCCAUGUCUCUAGCAGUUAACGAAAGUUCUCCUAAGGCCAGUGGCAGGAGAACUAGAAGGGAAAGAAAGAGAUAGCCAUAGAAGUUAUUUACAAAUGUCCUCAUUAUAUUCGUGAGCUUCACUGCUGGAGAUACACUGCGUGUCAUGGGCUUUGUGGACAUUAACCCUAGCAACAGCCCCUCGGGGUAAGCACCACUUUUAUGUCCAUGCAGCACUGGUUCAAAGAGUGGUAAGGAACGUGUCCAAAACCUUUUGGGGCAGAGCUGCAACUGUGACCUGCUGCCCUCUCAUUUUAAGGCCAUGC